rnacentral:rRNA from 1 species
CCGGCGAUGUCCGAAUGGGGAAACCCAGUGCAAUUCGUUGCACUAUCGUUAACUGAAUACAUAGGUUAACGAGGCGAACCGGGGGAACUGAAACAUCUAAGUACCCCGAGGAAAAGAAAUCAACCGAGAUUCCCCCAGUAGCGGCGAGCGAACGGGGAGCAGCCCAGAGUCUGAAUCAGCUUGUGUGUUAGUGGAACGGUCUGGAAAGUCCGACGGUACAGGGUGAUAGUCCCGUACACCAAAAUGCACAGGUUGUGAACUCGAAGAGUAGGGCGGGACACGUGGUAUCCUGUCUGAAUAUGGGGGGACCAUCCUCCAAGGCUAAAUACUCCUGACUGACCGAUAGUGAACCAGUACCGUGAGGGAAAGGCGAAAAGAACCCCGGCGAGGGGAGUGAAAAAGAACCUGAAACCGUGUACGUACAAGCAGUGGGAGCACCUUCGGGUGUGACUGCGUACCUUUUGUAUAAUGGGUCAGCGACUUAUAUUCUGUAGCAAGGUUAACCGUAUAGGGGAGCCGCAGGGAAACCGAGUCUUAACUGGGCGUUAAGUUGCAGGGUAUAGACCCGAAACCCGGUGAUCUAGCCAUGGGCAGGUUGAAGGUUGGGUAACACUAACUGGAGGACCGAACCGACUAAUGUUGAAAAAUUAGCGGAUGACUUGUGGCUGGGGGUGAAAGGCCAAUCAAACCGGGAGAUAGCUGGUUCUCCCCGAAAGCUAUUUAGGUAGCGCCUCGUGAACUCAUCUUCGGGGGUAGAGCACUGUUUCGGCUAGGGGGUCAUCCCGACUUACCAACCCGAUGCAAACUACGAAUACCGAAGAAUGUUAUCACGGGAGACACACGGCGGGUGCUAACGUCCGUCGUGAAGAGGGAAACAACCCAGACCGCCAGCUAAGGUCCCAAAGUCAUGGUUAAGUGGGAAACGAUGUGGGAAGGCACAGACAGCCAGGAUGUUGGCUUAGAAGCAGCCAUCAUUUAAAGAAAGCGUAAUAGCUCACUGGUCGAGUCGGCCUGCGCGGAAGAUGUAACGGGGCUAAACCAUGCACCGAAGCUGCGGCAGCGACACUAUGUGUUGUUGGGUAGGGGAGCGUUCUGUAAGCCUGCGAAGGUGACCUGUGAGGGUUGCUGGAGGUAUCAGAAGUGCGAAUGCUGACAUAAGUAACGAUAAAGCGGGUGAAAAGCCCGCUCGCCGGAAGACCAAGGGUUCCUGUCCAACGUUAAUCGGGGCAGGGUGAGUCGACCCCUAAGGCGAGGCCGAAAGGCGUAGUCGAUGGGAAACAGGUUAAUAUUCCUGUACUUGGUGUUACUGCGAAGGGGGGACGGAGAAGGCUAUGUUAGCCGGGCGACGGUUGUCCCGGUUUAAGCAUGUAGGCUGAUUGUCCAGGCAAAUCCGGAUAAUCAAGGCUGAGGUGUGAUGACGAGGCACUACGGUGCUGAAGUAACAAAUGCCCUGCUUCCAGGAAAAGCCUCUAAGCAUCAGGUAACAUUAAAUCGUACCCCAAACCGACACAGGUGGUCAGGUAGAGAAUACCAAGGCGCUUGAGAGAACUCGGGUGAAGGAACUAGGCAAAAUGGUGCCGUAACUUCGGGAGAAGGCACGCUGGUGUGUAGGUGAAGUCCCUGCGGAUGGAGCUGAGACCAGUCGAAGAUACCAGCUGGCUGCAACUGUUUAUUAAAAACACAGCACUGUGCAAACACGAAAGUGGACGUAUACGGUGUGACGCCUGCCCGGUGCCGGAAGGUUAAUUGAUGGGGUUAUCCGUAAGGAGAAGCUCUUGAUCGAAGCCCCGGUAAACGGCGGCCGUAACUAUAACGGUCCUAAGGUAGCGAAAUUCCUUGUCGGGUAAGUUCCGACCUGCACGAAUGGCGUAAUGAUGGCCAGGCUGUCUCCACCCGAGACUCAGUGAAAUUGAACUCGCUGUGAAGAUGCAGUGUACCCGCGGCAAGACGGAAAGACCCCGUGAACCUUUACUAUAGCUUGACACUGAACAUUGAGCCUUGAUGUGUAGGAUAGGUGGGAGGCUUUGAAGCGUGGACGCCAGUCUGCGUGGAGCCAACCUUGAAAUACCACCCUUUAAUGUUUGAUGUUCUAACGUUGGCCCCUGACCGGGGUUGCGGACAGUGUCUGGUGGGUAGUUUGACUGGGGCGGUCUCCUCCCAAAGCGUAACGGAGGAGCACGAAGGUUAGCUAAUCCUGGUCGGACAUCAGGAGGUUAGUGCAAUGGCAUAAGCUAGCUUGACUGCGAGCGUGACGGCGCGAGCAGGUGCGAAAGCAGGUCAUAGUGAUCCGGUGGUUCUGAAUGGAAGGGCCAUCGCUCAACGGAUAAAAGGUACUCCGGGGAUAACAGGCUGAUACCGCCCAAGAGUUCAUAUCGACGGCGGUGUUUGGCACCUCGAUGUCGGCUCAUCACAUCCUGGGGCUGAAGUAGGUCCCAAGGGUAUGGCUGUUCGCCAUUUAAAGUGGUACGCGAGCUGGGUUUAGAACGUCGUGAGACAGUUCGGUCCCUAUCUGCCGUGGGCGCUGGAGAAUUGAGGGGGGCUGCUCCUAGUACGAGAGGACCGGAGUGGACGCAUCACUGGUGUUCGGGUUGUCAUGCCAAUGGCACUGCCCGGUAGCUAAAUGCGGAAGAGAUAAGUGCUGAAAGCAUCUAAGCACGAAACUUGCCCCGAGAUGAGUUCUCCCUGAGACUUUAAGUCUCCUGAAGGAACGUUAAAGACGAUGACGUUGAUAGGCCGGGUGUGUAAGCGCAGCGAUGCGUUGAGCUAACCGGUACUAAUGAACCGUGAGGCUUAACCUU